rnacentral:rRNA from 1 species
GACGAGGGGUCCAAGCGUUGUUCGGAAUCAUUGGGCGUAAAGCGGGUGUAGGCGGCUCUAUAAGUCAGGAGUGAAAUCCCCGAGCUUAACUUGGGAAGUGCUUUUGAUACUGCAGAGCUUGAAUGUGGGAGAGGUUAGUGGAAUUCCAAGUGUAGUGGUGAAUACGUAGAUAUUUGGAGGAACACCGGUGGCGAAGGCGGCUAACUGGCCCAACAUUGACGCUGAGACCCGAAAGCAUGGGGAUCAAACAGGG